rnacentral:rRNA from 1 species
GGGCACUCUAAGGGGACGUGCCGGUGAUAAGCCGAGAGGAAGGUGGGGAGUGACGUCAAGUCCUCAUGGCCUUACGGGCUGGGCUACACACGUGCUACAAUGGUGGUGGACAGUGGGCAGCGAGCACGCGAGUGUGAGCUAAUCUCCAAAAGACCAUCUCAGUUCGGAUUGCACUCUGCAACUCGAGUGCAUGAAGUUGGAAUCGCUAGUAAUCGCGGAUCAGCAUGCCGCGGUGAAUACGUUCCCGGGCCUU